GGAGAUUUAGCUCAGUGGUUGUGCUGUCUGCCUCACAAGCACAAGAACCCAAGUUCAAUCCCUGGAACCCCUU
rnacentral:tRNA from 1 species